rnacentral:rRNA from 1 species
CGUGAACCCAUCGAGUCUUUGAACGCAAGUUGCGCCCGAGGCUAUCUGGCUAAGGGCACGCUUCUGGGCAUCACG